AUGCACUUUACACUUUCUUUAUUUGUAUUAAACAAACCCUUAAAAGGUGAUGAAGAGGAGACAGCUGAAGUCACUGGAGCAGACGUGGCCACAGAAGAAGCCGAUGCAGCAACCGCUGCUGGACCUGCAGCACAGGAGGAGAGUUCUGGGGUUACCCCAGAAACUGGAGGAGAGAGUGACUUGCCGGCUGCAGACACGUCCACUGCUGUGGAGGGAGCACAGCAGGAAGCUGCUGCUAAUUCAGAAGCUCCUGCAGUGCAAGAAACUGUGAGUGAAGUCUUGGAUGUUGCAGCUGCUUCUGCCCAUGAGGAGAACUUAGACAGUGUCAAGGAAGGAGUAGCCUCAGCAGCUCAAGAGAUGUCUGACACAGCCACGAGGAGCCAGGACGCUGAUGCUGAGGAGUCGGGGAGAGCUUCAGAAGUUUCUGAGGAGGAGAAGGCACCUGAAGAAGUCGCUAAGGAACCCUAAAGUGAGCAGCACUGAUGCCUUUGAAAAGUUUACCAGAAAAGUCUGUGGCAAUCAACCAGCUGAUUCCUGUGAGAAACCUCAGACUCUUCCUUGGAGACAUAAAACAAGCCGUGCAGUUUGUCACACCACACAUUACAUGUUAGGACCAGUGUUCAUUGCUGCAACAGACAACCUAAUACAACUUUAGUUAGACAGACGCUGCUGUCAUUAACAACUCUGCUUUAGAAAGUAGCACCCAGCACCAAGUGCCAGAGCACCACCCAGCAUGCAAUGGAUAGAUGUGCUAAGAGAAGCAGUAGGCUUCACUGUAUCCCUGCCAGGUGAGCUUGUUCUAGUUCCUGGUUGUCCAGGUGUCUACUUUCAUUUCUUUCUUUUGGUCCAAACUGCGGUGCUUAGUUAUGCUGCCAUCACAUUCCACACCAAAAUGAAAGUUAAAAGUUCUAAGGAAGUUAAAACCUUAUGUAAAUUACCUGUUUGCAAUUGUAACCAUAGGACAUCUGGCUGUACAAAACACCUGGUUUUCUUCCUGUGUAAGCAUUUUAGAUGCUAAGCUUUCUUGCACCAUAGAAGCCCAGAGUAAACAUUUUUAAAGCUGCUGCUCUGCGAACAAGAACUGUGUGCAUGUAGUAGCAAUAAGUACUGUAUUGCAACUUGACAGAAACAAUGAGCAUCAAAAGAAAGCUGCUUGAGGUUGUCUUUAUUGCUCAGAGUGGUGCCUCCUGCUUGGGGGUGCUGAGCCCCAUUCCUACCAAACUUUGGUUUGUUAUAAUCUUUGUCUUGUUCUGUCUUAGCAGUAUGUGGCAUUAAAAAACAAACAACGGAGUGUUGAGAGAAGACUCUUGUACAAGUGAGGAGAAAUUUAGGCUGUUGUGAAGCUUCCCUGAGAGCUAGCAUGUGGCCUGCAAAAUCUCAAUAGGUGGCUACGGCACAGGUAUUCAAAUGGACAAGGAUCUUCAGGGUCUAAUGGCUAUGAAAAUCGGAACAAGCAGUUGUGUGUCAAAAUAUUCUCCCUCUGAGAGGGGCAUGUUGCAAGUGGGACCAAAUGUGAAAAAGAGCAGGGAAAAGUAUCUAAGCCAAUAACCUUCCUCCCCCCAUUUCUUGACUUGUCAUUGUUGUCUUAAUAAUGAAAGUAUCUAUAAUAAUCAGUUUGCAAGCCGGUGUUGUCCUAACCCUGUUCAGCUAUUUGCAGGCACACAAGUGUGUAUCUACCAAAAAGUAUUUACAGAGAUCCUCAUCAGCUAGAAACUGUUACAGCCAUCACAGCGUAACAAUAAUUCUAAAUGAAGCCUAAAUAAGGUAUAGUGUACACAAUUUAUAUAGAAACUCUGAACCAAAAGAUCUGACUGCUUUGUCUGCAAGCAGAAAUUUGAGAAGAUGCUGAAAGGGUAAUUACAGUGUUAUAGCAUUCCUACCCAUUGUGUAAAGAAUGUCAUGCUCCUUCCUUUAUGAUAUAGUAAAUAAUAAGUGUCCCAACAGAAAACUUGUUUAUAAAUACCUGGAAUAAUGCUGAAGCAAAAUCAGGCUCCUGAGUACCAUAAAGCUCUUCUACUUAAAGGGUAAAGCCUCUGUGAUUAAGCAGAGUUUUUAUAGACAGAGCUACUGGAAUAAAAGUCUUAGGUUGAUAUUUGUUGGUUGUCA
rnacentral:lncRNA from 1 species